rnacentral:rRNA from 1 species
CAGCCGCCACGGUAAGACAGAGGAUGCAAGCGUUAUCCGGAUUUAUUGGGCGUAAAGCGAGCGCAGGCGGUUAGAUAAGUCUGAAGUUAAAGGCUGUGGCUUAACCAUAGUACGCUUUGGAAACUGUUUAACUUGAGUGCAGAAGGGGAGAGUGGAAUUCCAUGUGUAGCGGUGAAAUGCGUAGAUAUAUGGAGGAACACCGGCGGCGAAAGCGGCUCUCUGGUCUGUAACUGACGCUGAGGCUCGAAAGCGUGGGGAGCAAACAGGAUUAGAUACCCCAGUAGUCCCUGUCUCUUAUACA